UACGGGGGGGGCAAGCGUUGUUCGGAAUUACUGGGCGUAAAGGGCUCGUAGGCGGCCAACUAAGUCAUACGUGAAAUCCCUCAGCUUAACUGGGGAACUGCGUGUGAUACUGGAUGGCUUGGAUUUGGGAGAGGGAUGCGGAAUUCCAGGUGUAGCGGUGAAAUGCGCAGAUAUCAGGAGGAACACCGGUGGCGAAGGCGGGUCUCUGGGCAACAACUGACGCUGAGGAGCGAAAGCGUGGGGAGCGAACAGG
rnacentral:rRNA from 1 species